UUUGGAUGCUCCUCCUGGGCAGCGUUAUAAAAUGAAAGUCGUCCCUUUCAGUAAGAACAUAACUUUUGGUGUUGCAGGUAAUACAUGACACAGUUUUAUCUCUUCAACUAAUCAUAUUAUAUUUUUAUCCUCUCAUAUGAUUUAUGAUAUAUGAUAUAUAUGAUGAUUAUUUUCCCGAUGUUAAGGAACUGAUAUCUAUCCUGGCGGAUAGUCAAGCAGAAUGCUCAAUGAUGGGCGCAUAUAAUAUGCACACAUGUGACUCCGUUUGCCCCCAAGAGUGUGUGCAUUGCUAGCAUCACGUGCCUGUAGAUCUUUCGCUUUCGCUGCUUCUUUUUAAACGGGAUUAAAAAGAUAAUUGAGCGUUUGAUGGAUCUAAAAUCUCCAUGGAAUUACAUCAAAUCCAGGCUGGAAAGCUAUGAAUGCUUCUUCAGAAGUAGAUAAUACGGGAAAGGUCCAGAAUGGCUUUGAAGCUGCAUUAGAUUUGCAAAGAAGUCAAACGAUCGGUCAACGGCUGAUGGACAACAUCUUCUUGAGAAGUUUCACUUCAAAUCCCAAGAAUCCAGCUUCAUAUAACGUGGGACAAGCUACUUCAUCCUAGGUAUAGACGUAUAAUGUUUGUUGAUUCUAAUCUUUUUAAUUGUUAAACAGAUUUAAAAAAUUGAUCUUUUGAUUUUUGAUGAUGUAAAGUGUUUGGGUGAAUCGUAUUCACUGGUUGAAUCAUCCAAAUCUAGGUUGUAUCUUUGAAAUUAUUUACAAUUAGUUCACACCUCCAA